CCUACGGGUGGCUGCAGUGAGGAAUAUUGGUCAAUGGACGAGAGUCUGAACCAGCCAAGUAGCGUGAAGGAUGACUGCCCUAUGGGUUGUAAACUUCUUUUAUAUGGGAAUAAAACGUUGCACGUGUGCCAUUUUGCAUGUACCAUAUGAAUACGUAUCGGCUAACUCCGUGCCAGCAGCCGCGGUAAUACGGAGGAUCCGAGCGUUAUCCGGAUUUAUUGGGUUUAAAGGGAGCGUAGAUGGGUUGUUAAGUCAGUUGUGAAAGUUUGCGGCUCAACCGUAAAAUUGCAAUUGAUACUGGCAGUCUUGAGUACAGUUGAGGUAGGCGGAAUGCGUGGUGUAGCGGUGAAAUGCUUAGAUAUCACGAAGAACCCCGAUUGCGAAGGCAGCUGACUAAACUGUAACUGACACUGAGGCUCGAAAGUGUGGGUAUCAAACAGGAUUAGAUACCCGAGUAGUC
rnacentral:rRNA from 1 species